AAUCGCCAGACUCACGGCAUUGAUGGAAUCCAUGAUAGCUGCUCAUAAUCAAUAAUAUCCACCUCCCGCAACUCCUCGCCCUCAGAGGACUGUCAUCUCAAAGAUUACUUCACCAACUGUUCCUGUGGCGGAUAGCCAGUCUGUUCCUGCCAUGCCAGCUGGAUUCGCUUGGGCAAUGCCACUAAACUUUGUCCCUGAAGGGUAUGCACCCACUUUUGUUUCUCUGUCAGCAUCUAGCCCGAUCAUGUUAGUGCCUCCUCCUAUCAUUCAUACUCUG
rnacentral:lncRNA from 1 species